rnacentral:lncRNA from 1 species
UGUCCACCAAUAGAUCAACUUGGUCGACUAGACCGGCGGCGACUUUUAACUUGAAUAAAAUGGUAUAUUCUUUGUUUCGUAAUGAUCCAAGAAGAUAGAAGAGGAUACAUCGAGGUCAACAAGAUGGUAACUCAAGCCGGUGAGGAAUAGAGACCCGUCGGUCUACCCCUCAUUAAGAGCAAAUACUUGAUUUAAGAUUGACAUAUACUUUUUUCCCCACACAAAUAUACCGAAGCAAAGUAAACCCGUGUCCAUAGAGCAGGUCAGUUGUGUCAGACCAAACAUUUUCUUCAAUAUAAAAGAUGAAUGAAGUGAAAAUCGUUUGGAGGCAAAAAUUGCAGUCAAUUGUCAGGUCCACCCCGCUAUCCCUCGCCACGCUUACCCAGCAUCGACGAGCCGUCCUCAUUCCUCCCAUAAUAACCCCUUUCUAAGGCCAAUCCGGC